UAGGGAGACCUACUUUUGAGUCGAGUGCCCAAUCCAAAAAUACAGCACCCUCAAAAGUCAUCCCAGGUCGUUACGAGAAGAAUGAAAAACACAACAACAGCUUUCAAACUCCGAAGUCCGGUUCAAAACCUAGGACAAUUCAGCACCUAGCUUCUGUAAAUAAAAAAGAAGCCAGAAUGCUGGACUAGCAAGUCCAGACAGAACCUUGAAAAUUGCAGAGAAACAAAAACUGGCAGUAGUUCGUAGUUAGAACUCCCAGCCGAAGGAAAGGAAACUAACCCUAGGUGGAGAGAACUAACCAAA
rnacentral:misc_RNA from 1 species